rnacentral:rRNA from 1 species
GAUGAACGCUGGCGGCGUGCCUAAUACAUGCAAGUCGAACGGGGAGUAGCAAUACUCUUAGUGGCGAACGGGUGAGUAACGCGUUGGUACCUGCCCCGAAGCGGGGGAUAACGGACCGAAAGGUCCGCUAAUACCCCAUGUGCUCGGUAACGAGUAAAGGUGAAAACCACUUUGGGAGGGGCCUGCGUCCCAUCAGCUAGUUGGUAAGGUAACGGCUUACCAAGGCGAUGACGGGUAGGGGACCUGAGGGGGUGGCCCCCCACAAUGGAACUGAAACACGGUCCAUACACCUACGGGUGGCAGCAGUAGGGAAUAUUGGUAAUGGGCGCAAGCCUGAACCAGCAACGCCGCGUGUGCGAUGACGGCCUUCGGGUUGUAAAGCACUUUUGACUGGGACGAGGAAGGACGGUACCGGUCGAAUCAGCCUCGGCUAACUACGUG